GAUGGAAGAACGUAGCGAAAUGCGAUAAGUAAUGUGAAUUGCAGAAUUCAGUGAAUCAUCGAAUCUUUGAACGCACAUUGCGCCCGCCAGUAUUCUGGCGGGCAUGCCUGUUCGAGCGUCAUUACAACCCUCAGGCCCCCGGGCCUGGCGUUGGGGAUCGGCAGAAGCCCCCUGUGGGCACACGCCGUCCCUCAAAUACAGUGGCGGUCCCGCCGCAGCUUCCAUUGCGUAGUAGCUAACACCUCGCAACUGGAGAGCGGCGCGGCCAUGCCGUAAAACACCCAACUUCUGAAUGUUGACCUCGAAUCAGGUAGGAAUACCCGCUGAACUUAAGCAUAUCAAUAAGCGGAGGA
rnacentral:misc_RNA from 1 species